CCUUUGCCCACUUGAUUCACCAUACACCAUUGGAGAAAAUCGCCCACAUCCAUUUUCGGUUGUGGCCAAAAGGACUUAUCUUCCAUUGUAGGAAUUGUGUUAUCUCUUCCAAAAUGCCCCCUUAAUCGUACUUCAUCUUGUGUCGCACAGUCUUAUGUAUCGCGACUGACCUCCAUUAUAGUCAUUUUCUGCAAUGUGUGGCAUUUCUACACGCAUCAUGAUCCCUUUGCAAUUUGCCUAUCAUGAUAUUUCACUUUCAAGAUUCCGCACAGUGUUGGAGUUGUUCGUGUAUUCUAUUUGCAGCAUGGUUUGAAAGUAGUGAAGUAUGAAAUUUCAAUCUUUCA